UAACAACAGGAAGGACACCGGUGUGCCGUGAGAGCAACAUUGGAGAAAGAGAGAGGUGAAGAGUGCGCAGCAGACGACGAGCAGGGAAAAUCCAGUUUAAUGUCGAGGUGAUUAAAGUUGUAGACCUGCAUACUUUAAGUAUUGGCACAACUAUUAUUUAGCAGUUUCUGUCUUGUGAAACUUGCAGUUUAGCGUCUCACUCUACCGUAGUUCAAAGUGAAGUGCAACUAGGCUAGCCGCGGUUAUUGUUUUUUUUUUAAGCUUGAAAAAGUCUAGGCGUGGACUCAAAAGUGGACAUUUAAGCACGUAUUGCUAUCAGAGACAGUUAGUUAUAAACACCAGCCGUCACUUUCACUGAGGAGGAUCGGGAGAGCUGGAGGACUUCGCUGGAGGACCGUGAUGCUAAUUAGCCUGUUGCUAAUGCUGUGACGAGGGACCCCGCCGCUGAAGUUGGACACAGUGACGACACCUGUUACAUCUCUGCUGCUGCUGCUUCAUCUUCACUGCCAACUCUUCAGAACUGCUUUGCAUCUUGGAUUCUGAAUCCUGACCUCGACAAAUUGAAUCCAGGUCGGAGGAGGAGGAGUGAAUCCUUCCAGUGGAGCUCUGCUGAUUCACAUCUCCUCCAAACUCUUCCUGCCACUGCUGUGCUACAGACGCAGAACUAAAUUUACUCCAAAGAAACUUGCCCCCUUCUGCUCUGUUGGCCUGAGUUCUGCUUAGAUUGAGGAGGACGUCCUGGCGGUGUCUGGAAGCCCUGCCAACCUGUCUCCAGCUCCAAAGUCCAGCAUCAGACCAACAAGUGUGGAGUUAAUCAAACAUGUCGAACAGACACGUGAGCAUCUCAGCCUUCAUGUCAGUGCUGAGGCCCUGCUAACAGACUCGAGUACAAUGCGUGCCACCCUCCUAGAAA